rnacentral:rRNA from 1 species
CCGGCGAUGUCCGAAUGGGGAAACCCAGUGCAAUUCGUUGCACUAUCGUUAACUGAAUACAUAGGUUAACGAGGCGAACCGGGGGAACUGAAACAUCUAAGUACCCCGAGGAAAAGAAAUCAACCGAGAUUCCCCCAGUAGCGGCGAGCGAACGGGGAGCAGCCCAGAGUCUGAAUCAGCUUGUGUGUUAGUGGAACGGUCUGGAAAGUCCGACGGUACAGGGUGAUAGUCCCGUACACCAAAAUGCACAGGCUGUGAACUCGAAGAGUAGGGCGGGACACGUGGUAUCCUGUCUGAAUAUGGGGGGACCAUCCUCCAAGGCUAAAUACUCCUGACUGACCGAUAGUGAACCAGUACCGUGAGGGAAAGGCGAAAAGAACCCCGGCGAGGGGAGUGAAAAAGAACCUGAAACCGUGUACGUACAAGCAGUGGGAGCACCUUCGGGUGUGACUGCGUACCUUUUGUAUAAUGGGUCAGCGACUUAUAUUCUGUAGCAAGGUUAACCGUAUAGGGGAGCCGCAGGGAAACCGAGUCUUAACUGGGCGUUAAGUUGCAGGGUAUAGACCCGAAACCCGGUGAUCUAGCCAUGGGCAGGUUGAAGGUUGGGUAACACUAACUGGAGGACCGAACCGACUAAUGUUGAAAAAUUAGCGGAUGACUUGUGGCUGGGGGUGAAAGGCCAAUCAAACCGGGAGAUAGCUGGUUCUCCCCGAAAGCUAUUUAGGUAGCGCCUCGUGAAUUCAUCUUCGGGGGUAGAGCACUGUUUCGGCUAGGGGGUCAUCCCGACUUACCAACCCGAUGCAAACUACGAAUACCGAAGAAUGUUAUCACGGGAGACACACGGCGGGUGCUAACGUCCGUCGUGAAGAGGGAAACAACCCAGACCGCCAGCUAAGGUCCCAAAGUCAUGGUUAAGUGGGAAACGAUGUGGGAAGGCACAGACAGCCAGGAUGUUGGCUUAGAAGCAGCCAUCAUUUAAAGAAAGCGUAAUAGCUCACUGGUCGAGUCGGCCUGCGCGGAAGAUGUAACGGGGCUAAACCAUGCACCGAAGCUGCGGCAGCGACACUAUGUGUUGUUGGGUAGGGGAGCGUUCUGUAAGCCUGCGAAGGUGACCUGUGAGGGUUGCUGGAGGUAUCAGAAGUGCGAAUGCUGACAUAAGUAACGAUAAAGCGGGUGAAAAGCCCGCUCGCCGGAAGACCAAGGGUUCCUGUCCAACGUUAAUCGGGGCAGGGUGAGUCGACCCCUAAGGCGAGGCCGAAAGGCGUAGUCGAUGGGAAACAGGUUAAUAUUCCUGUACUUGGUGUUACUGCGAAGGGGGGACGGAGAAGGCUAUGUUAGCCGGGCGACGGUUGUCCCGGUUUAAGCAUGUAGGCUGGUUAUCCAGGCAAAUCCGGAUAAUCAAGGCUGAGGUGUGAUGACGAGGCACUACGGUGCUGAAGUAACAAAUGCCCUGCUUCCAGGAAAAGCCUCUAAGCAUCAGGUAACAUUAAAUCGUACCCCAAACCGACACAGGUGGUCAGGUAGAGAAUACCAAGGCGCUUGAGAGAACUCGGGUGAAGGAACUAGGCAAAAUGGUGCCGUAACUUCGGGAGAAGGCACGCUGGUGUGUAGGUGAAGUCCCUGCGGAUGGAGCUGAGACCAGUCGAAGAUACCAGCUGGCUGCAACUGUUUAUUAAAAACACAGCACUGUGCAAACACGAAAGUGGACGUAUACGGUGUGACGCCUGCCCGGUGCCGGAAGGUUAAUUGAUGGGGUUAUCCGUAAGGAGAAGCUCUUGAUCGAAGCCCCGGUAAACGGCGGCCGUAACUAUAACGGUCCUAAGGUAGCGAAAUUCCUUGUCGGGUAAGUUCCGACCUGCACGAAUGGCGUAAUGAUGGCCAGGCUGUCUCCACCCGAGACUCAGUGAAAUUGAACUCGCUGUGAAGAUGCAGUGUACCCGCGGCAAGACGGAAAGACCCCGUGAACCUUUACUAUAGCUUGACACUGAACAUUGAGCCUUGAUGUGUAGGAUAGGUGGGAGGCUUUGAAGCGUGGACGCCAGUCUGCGUGGAGCCAACCUUGAAAUACCACCCUUUAAUGUUUGAUGUUCUAACGUUGGCCCCUGACCGGGGUUGCGGACAGUGUCUGGUGGGUAGUUUGACUGGGGCGGUCUCCUCCCAAAGCGUAACGGAGGAGCACGAAGGUUAGCUAAUCCUGGUCGGACAUCAGGAGGUUAGUGCAAUGGCAUAAGCUAGCUUGACUGCGAGCGUGACGGCGCGAGCAGGUGCGAAAGCAGGUCAUAGUGAUCCGGUGGUUCUGAAUGGAAGGGCCAUCGCUCAACGGAUAAAAGGUACUCCGGGGAUAACAGGCUGAUACCGCCCAAGAGUUCAUAUCGACGGCGGUGUUUGGCACCUCGAUGUCGGCUCAUCACAUCCUGGGGCUGAAGUAGGUCCCAAGGGUAUGGCUGUUCGCCAUUUAAAGUGGUACGCGAGCUGGGUUUAGAACGUCGUGAGACAGUUCGGUCCCUAUCUGCCGUGGGCGCUGGAGAAUUGAGGGGGGCUGCUCCUAGUACGAGAGGACCGGAGUGGACGCAUCACUGGUGUUCGGGUUGUCAUGCCAAUGGCACUGCCCGGUAGCUAAAUGCGGAAGAGAUAAGUGCUGAAAGCAUCUAAGCACGAAACUUGCCCCGAGAUGAGUUCUCCCUGAGACUUUAAGUCUCCUGAAGGAACGUU